UGGCUGCGGAGCCCGGGGAGGAGGGAGGGGGAGCGGGGAGCGAGCCGGAGGUGCGAGGGGAGCCGGGGAGCAAGGGGGGGGGGGAGGCGGCGCCGCGCUGCCCCGGUGCCCCGCGCCGCUUCAGAGGGGCAUCCCCGGGCGCAGCCGCUCCUGGUCCAUCGCUCGCUUCGGCAGGUCCGGGCGGGCCGCGGAGAGGAGCUCUUUAGUCCAGCGUCAUUGAGGGGUGUCAGGGAGAUAAACGAAGCAGAUUUAUAUACAAUCCAAUUUAUAGCCUGGAAGGAGGGGGGGGGGGGAGAAAUGCCACUUGUACCCCCCCGCCCACUCCGCCCCCGCAAGACAACAAUCCACAGGCCGUGGGUGCAGGUCUCUUGAGCAGGUCGGCUCCGCGCCGCGCCGCUCGGUUGUCCCCCUUCAGCGCCCGCUGCUUCUCAACGUGCCAUCAAAGUUGACCCGGAGCAUAGCUGGGGAGGGGCCGGGGGCGGCGGGGAGGGGGUACGCGGCUGGCAGCUCCACAGUUGCGAGUCUUCUCCCCCCACCGCCCCGCUUAUUAUUAGCGAGAUGCUUUUAUUUUCAAGGCAGCGCGGAGGGUCCGGAGUCCGGCGAGGAUGCUGCGGCGGCGCCCGGCGCGGCCCCCGCCGCGGGCAGCGGUACCGCACGCUGCGCGGCCGCGGAGCGGGGAAUCGGCUCGAUCCCGGCGAUCCCAGGAGAAGCUGCACGGAUCCACUCGUGGAAGGUCUCGGGGAAGCGGUUCGCUCCUCGCUUAUCUUCCUCUGAUCUCCUCCUGCUAAUAUUCCCCCCCUGCAAAAUCACGACAUUGUGGCACUUUCUACUGAAACUUUUAUACAGGAGUUAAAACCACGUGGGAACUCCAACCUAUAACAGAGACGCCAUGGGUUCCUCACUAUUUAGGAGAUUAAGUUAAGUCUUUUGCCCCCUGGGCUAUUACAGUAACUUCCUGAUGUGGAAAUAUUAA